rnacentral:rRNA from 1 species
UCCUGCCCAAUGAUCAUUUUAAUGGCCGCAGUAUAUUGACUGUGCUAAGGUAGCAUAAUAAAUUGUUUAUUAAUUGUAAACUAGAAUGAAUGGAAUUACGAAAAAUUAACUGUCUCAUUUCUAUAUAAUAAAUUUAAUCUUUAAUGUGAAGAAGCUUAAAUUUAAUUGUAAGACAAGAAGACCCUAUAAAGCUUUAUAAUAAUAUUAAGUUAAUUAAUAAAAUAUUCGAUUGGGGCGAUCAGUGAUAUAAUAAACGUCAUUUUUUGAUAUGAAAAAUUUAUCUUUACUAGACCCUUUUUUAGAUCUCAAGAUUAAGUUACUUUAGGGGUAACAGGCUAAUUUUAUAUUGAAGUUCUUAUUUGAUAUAGUGUUUGGCACCUCGCUGUUGACUUUCAUUACCAAUAAGGCG